rnacentral:lncRNA from 1 species
AGAGCCGCCUCUUCCGCCUGCGCCUCGCCCAGCGGGGCCGGCGUCGGCCUCGGGUCUGCGCACCCAGUGCAAGCGGUGCACCGCCAUCUUUUUUAUGGGCAAAGAUUCCUUUGCGAUUUAUGUUCCCAAAGCAGGCUUCUUAGGAAGUCCGUAGAGAGACGCUCGGAAGAGAAUGGACAUCUUGCACACUGAAACACUGAGCUAAAGUGUUGGGGGUCGAAGUGGCAACCCAUGAAACCUAGAAUAAACGAGAGGCCUGCCCUGAGUAAAGGUGGGUGCCCCGGGCAUCACGUGCUCUGGCCCGAGCUCCGCCCCCGAGGGAUGGAAGGAGAGGCGGGUUUUCCCGGCAUCUGUGCUGUGCCUAGAACUGCAUAGUCCUUAUCCUGAACGCACGUCUCCGGAGGGAUUCCCUUCAGUCUCCAUUCCUCCACCCGAACCACCUACUCUCCCAUCCUCCCUUUGAGAUGCAGAUGCUGUAGGCGUCCAUGGCUGAGCCACCAACUAUUAGCUUUCUACUCCACCUUCCAAGCAGAACGGAGGGAUUUUUCUAAAAACGAAAUUCCAGUCACGGUCCUGUUGUGCUCAUACCUUUUUAAAAAUGGCAGUCCGUUACCUGGAGAAUAAAGACCAAACUCCGUAUUGUCCUGUG